rnacentral:rRNA from 1 species
UGCCUACGGGGGGCAGCAGUGAGGAAUAUUGGUCAAUGGCCGGAAGGCUGAACCAGCCAAGCCGCGUGAAGGACGAAGGUGCCAAGCAUUGUAAACUUCUUUUGUCAAGGGACAAAAUCAGGCUCGAGAGCCUGACCGAGGGUACUUGAAGAAAAAGCAUCGGCUAACUCCGUGCCAGCAGCCGCGGUAAUACGGAGGAUGCGAGCGUUAUCCGGAUUUAUUGGGUUUAAAGGGAGCGUAGGUGGCAGGGCAAGUCAGAUGUGAAAACCCGGGGCUCAACCCCGGGAGUGCAUUUGAAACUGUCC